AGUGUGAUGGAAAAUAUUUGCUCAUUUUGAAUUUGAUGGCAGCAGCAUAUCUCCAAAAAGUUGGAAGUGGAGCAACGAAAGACUAAAAAGGAAUAGGCACAAAUCUAAAACAAUUGGAUGAUUAUACCACAACCAAUUAGGUUAAUUUACAACAGCUCAGUAACAUAAGUGGGUAUAAAAUGAGCAUCAGAGAGGCAGAGACUCUCAGAUGGAAAGAUGGAGAG